UGUAAGUAAACUGAAGAAACACCGAGAGGGAGAGGACAAAUGUGCUUCCGAAAGGCCAAAGUCAAUUGUAAGCUGAGAUCCCACGGACCGGCAGGGUGUGAAUUACUGGAAUGAGAGGAAAAGGAGCUGAGGGUAGGGGUGCCUUUUGAAGACCACCUUACCCAGAGCUGCGGGCCAUGUUAGGCGUUAGGAGAGCAUUAACUGAGACCCGGAAUUGAAUGUGGGGGGCCACACUCCUUUCGUUACUCUUUCUGUUCUCAGCUAUGAAGCUGUACCCAGAUUGCUUCGGCUAAGAAGUUCCCAUCAUUUUCUUCCUCAACGAUUAGUAUGGUGUUGGGCAGGUAAGCAAACCGGAGUCAGUGAGGUGUUCGUCAGGCUUGUAAGGAACGGGAAGCAGCUUUUCCUUUAAUAGAAAGUGACAUCUACAGUUUGACAGCCAUUAGCAUUGCAGAGACAGCUAGAUGAGUCUGAGGCUCAAGACAGAAACGAGACCUGACCUCAGAGGACAGAAGCAAGAGCAUGGAAGAAACUUGCUGCUGGUGAUAUAAUUCGGUGACCUAAAGAUGUCUUCGCUCCUUUACACACAACAGUGUCAGGAAUUAUCAAAGGAUGCAUUAGAAGAGGUAACGUGAUAGAUAGAAACAUAGAUGGUGGGGAAAUGGAAGAGACAAAAAUCUCUGGGCGCUGGUGCCAAUGCAAGCCUGUGGUUUUGAGCCCUUCCUGCCUUGCAGCUAUGGACUUGAAUUCUGCACCCUCUGAGAAUGAUACUAACCAGAAGCGUUUCCCUAAAUGGAUUCUGCCCAAUGUGAACUCCCCGUUCACUCUGUGUUGCAGUCGGGAAGAACUGAACCGAGGACGGGUGGCGGGAAUCUCUGAAGCGGGAAGGUCUGCAAGCUGCGUGGGUGGGAGAUGCGGGCCCAGCCAGUGUCGUCUGCAGCACUCGCCUCGGCCCUGAGCCCAGGGCCUCAGCUCUUCUGCGAGGCCGCUGUUUUCUUGUUGCAUUUCGCGUGUCGGUGAUUAGGUGCUUCAGCAGUGCAUGGAUCUGUUUAAUUCUUCUGAUGAGAGUACAUUUCUAAAGUGCUAAAAAAGCUUCUCCGUCAAAUGAAAAAGCCGCCUUAACAAGCAAGGUCCCUCUCCCCGAGGUCUGCGCACUGAGAGCCCAUGCCGGCCUGUCUCUGCGCAUUCCCGACUCUGCAGCGUCACCGCUGUGCCUCACGUCUCUUACCCGUGCACGCUGUCGGGGGCUGGACAUGCACUUAGGGAAUACUGGCUAGGAUGAGGAGGACGCUUUCCCGGAAAUGCCGAGAUGACUUCCUGGGAAAGGGAUGGUGACAUACAUGCUGGGAAUAGAGGAAAAAUGUCAGGAAGAGGGAAUAAAAAAUAAAAGGAUGAAGAAAGAAACUUUAAAAUGC